rnacentral:rRNA from 1 species
UACACUCCUACGGGAGGCAGCAGUGGGGAAUUUUGGACAAUGGGCGAAAGCCUGAUCCAGCAAUGCCGCGUGAGUGAAGAAGGCCUUCGGGUUGUAAAGCUCUUUUGUCAGGGAAGAAACGGUGAAAGCUAAUAUCUUUUGCUAAUGACGGUACCUGAAGAAUAAGCACCGGCUAACUACGUGCCAGCAGCCGCGGUAAUACGUAGGGUGCAAGCGUUAAUCGGAAUUACUGGGCGUAAAGCGUGCGCAGGCGGUUUUGUAAGUCUGAUGUGAAAUCCCCGGGCUCAACCUGGGAAUUGCAUUGGAGACUGCAAGGCUAGAAUCUGGCAGAGGUGGGUAGAAUUCCACGUGUAGCAGUGAAAUGCGUAGAUAUGUGGAGGAACACCGAUGGCGAAGGCAGCCCCCUGGGUCAAGAUUGACGCUCAUGCACGAAAGCGUGGGGAGCAAACAGGAUUAGAUACCCCAGUAGUCCCAGA